rnacentral:lncRNA from 1 species
CUUCUCCAAGGAAAAAAUACAGAAUAGAAGCAAAGAGACGGAGAACAUACCUGUUUCUCUAGCUCCAAUUCUUCUCUUCAAAGAUGGGUGCAACCCCUCUCUCUCAAGGUCCAAAUUCUCUCUCUCUAGAGGCCAAGUUCUCUCUUCAAAGUCCAAACUCUCUCUCUCUAGAGGCUAAGUUCUCUCUCUAAAGGUCCAAACUCUCUCUCUCUAGAGGCCCAAGCUCUCUUUCUCUCUCUAGGGGGUGAGAUUGGGCUAAGCUAAAACUCACUCUCACAUCAAGGGAGAGGUGAGUGCUCUUGGGGUAUAGCUGAUAUUGGCCUCCUG